rnacentral:tmRNA from 1 species
GGGGCUGUGUUGGCUUCGACAUUUAAAAUGAUACUAAUUACUAAGCAGAUUUAAACCUUAAAAUAUAAAAUAAUUGCAAACAAUAUUAUGAGUUUUAAUAAAAACCAAGUUUUUGCAUAAAAUUCUUGUGUUUUAAUAUCAAUCAACUCUAUAAUCGUUGGUUGAAGUAGGUAUAAGAUUGUUUUCCUCCUAAAUAUUUAUAAAAUUUAGUUUUGGUCAUAUUAUUACUAUCUACUACGAUAUGAAAUUUAUGUUUAUUAGUAAAUAUUAAAUAUAAACUGAUUUACAUUUUUGUUAGCAAUUUGUUUACUAAUAGUUUUAAAUUUAACUGAAACAACUGAUAACUAAAUCUGUGAUUUCAGUAAUUAGUUUGAUAAUUUUUUAAAUGGACGUGGGUUCAAAUCCCACCAGCUCCUCCC